AUUCGGAGGGUGCAAACGUUAAUCGGAAUUACUGGGCGUAAAGGGCGCGUAGGUGGUUAGUUAAGUCGGGUGUGAAAGCCCCGGGCUCAACCCGGGAAUUGCAUUCGAUACUGGCUGACUAGAGUAUGGUAGAGGGAAGCGGAAUUCCGGGUGUAGCGGUGAAAUGCGUAGAUAUCCGGAGGAACACCAGUGGCGAAGGCGGCUUCCUGGACCAAUACUGACACUGAGGCGCGAAAGCGUGGGGAGCAAACAGGAUUAGAUACCCGGGUAGUCC
rnacentral:rRNA from 1 species